rnacentral:lncRNA from 1 species
AUUUCAACUUCAAUGGGAUGACGUCAGAGUUGGGGUGAAAUCCCAAGGCGCCAUUAAUCACUUCCUUUGUGAAUCCUACAAAAUGUGUUGCUGCUGCCGCCUUGCGUUUGGUCUCUUCCAUCAGCCCCUGUAUGAAAUGGUAUCGGCCGUCGUGUAGACAUGGAGUUCCUGGCACGAAUGGAACCCGACGCUAUCAGCACUUUGUACCGCGAAAUUAGUGGGUAUCCCACCCCUAUUUCUGCCUUCGUGACGGCGAAUGACUACAUGGCACUAUUAAACGGCACGAGUUUCACUUUAUGUACAGGUGAGACACUGCGCGCGCGCACACACACACACACACACACACACACACACACACACACACACACACACAGAGAUCGCAACGUUGUAACUGUCCCACUAUGGUGUCUGUGAAACCACAGGUUGCGCCUGAGGCCAUCACCAUUUUGAAGUAGUCAAUUUUCAUCUGCAUCUGAGUUGGUUAACAAACUGAAAGGGUGUAUUUUUAGAUUUUUUUAUUUAACCUUUAUUUAACUUGGCAAAUCAGUUAAGAACAAAUUCUUAUUUACAAUGACUGACUGUAAUGUAACCAGAAACUAUUAGGGUGUGGGGUUUCUCGCUUCCUCUGUCUCUGCUGCUACCAUAGAGAUGCAUAGAGGACUCAUCUUGUGUCUGUGCCAUUAUAGCAAAGAUUUCUAUAACUAACCCAAGAUAGACCAGAGCAUGUCAUUUCCACCACUCUAGUCAUUCAGGUUACGCCUCUACAGAGCUCUGGACAUUCAGGUUACGCCUCUACAGAGCUCUGGACAUUCAGGUUACGCCUCUACAGAGCUCUGGACAUUCAGGUUACGCCUCUACAGAGCUCUGGACAUUCAGGUUACGCCUCGACAGAGCUCUGGACAUUCAGGUUACGCCUCGACAGAGCUCUGGACAUUCAGGUUACGCCUCUACAGAGCUCUGGACAUUCAGGUUACGCCUCUACAGAGCUCUGGACAUUCAGGUUACGCCUCUACAGAGCUCUGGACAUUCAGGUUACGACUCUACAGAGCUCUGGACAUUCAGGGUACGCCUAUAUAACGCUGUGCUCAUUUAGGUUAGUGUUUUCCAUUAGCGUCGGCUGUACAGCCGGUUACACAAAUUUUCAGCCGGGUACUUUUUCCACUUCAAUUUAACUAUGCU